GACGAACGCUGGCGGCGUGCUUAACACAUGCAAGUCGAACGGAAAGGCUCCAGCUUGCUGGAGUCCUCGAGUGGCGAACGGGUGAGUAACACGUGGGUAAUCUGCCCUGCACUCUGGGAUAAGCCUGGGAAACUGGGUCUAAUACUAGAUAUGACCUUUCUCCUUAUGGGGUUUGGUGGAAAGUUUUUCGGUGUAGGAUGAGCCCGCGGCCUAUCAGCUUGUUGGUGGGGUGAUGGCCUACCAAGGCGACGACGGGUAGCCGGCCUGAGAGGGUGAUCGGCCACGUUGGGACUGAGAUGCGGCCCAGACUCCUACGGGAGGCAGCAGUGGGGAAUAUUGCACAAUGGGCGGAAGCCUGAUGCAGCGACGCCGCGUGAGGGAUGACGGCCUUCGGGUUGUAAACCUCUUUCAGCAGGGACGAAGCGUAAGUGACGGUACCUGCAGAAGAAGCACCGGCUAACUAUGUG
rnacentral:rRNA from 1 species